rnacentral:rRNA from 1 species
GAUGAACGCUGGCGGCGUGCCUAACACAUGCAAGUCGAGCGAUUCUCUUCGGAGAAGAGCGGUGGCCGGGUGAGUAACGCGUGGGUAACCUGCCCUGUACACACGGAUAACAUACCGAAAGGUAUGCUAAGACGGGAUAAUAUGCUUUAGUCGCAUGGCUGAAGUAUCAAAGCUCCGGCGGUACAGGAUGGACCCGCGUCGGAUUAGCUAGUUGGUAAGGUAAUGGCUUACCAAGGCGACGAUCAGUAGCCGACCUGAGAGGGUGAUCGGCCACAUUGGAACUGAGACACGGUCCAAAAUCCUACGGGAGGCAGCAGUGGGGAAUAUUGCACAAUGGGCGAAAGCCUGAUGCAGCAACGCCGCGUGAGCGAUGAAGGCCUUCGGGUCGUAAAGCUCUGUCCUCAAGGAAGAUAAUGACGGUACUUGAGGAGGAAGCGCCGGCUAACUACGUGCCAGCCGCCGCCGUAA